rnacentral:lncRNA from 1 species
CAGCCCCUGGACAGUGAUCCAGACAGCUGGCCGUCCCCCAAGGAGCCUGUCACCUUCAGCGAGACCCAUUUCCUCCCCAUCCCCAGAGACCUCUUGUGUUCCUGCCACAUAGCUGCCAGGGCUUAAGUGUGCCUGGCAACCAAAUCGAAUCUCUCAUUUUCUCCUGUGGACCAGUUAGUUUUGCCUAGAAUCCUGUUUUCUUCUGAAUUUGCAGCUGUCUCUCUGAUGGGUGCCUUUUGUUCAACACAGUAAGCCCUGCUCCCUUCCCUGCUCUAAUACACUACCUGUACAAAGGUUUUUUCCUUAUUUUUAAUAAAUGUCAGACACUAUUAAAUAGAA